UCGAGAAUUUUUCACAAUGGGCGAAAGCCUGAUGGAGCGACGCCGCGUGGGGGAUGAAUGGCUUCGGCCCGUAAACCCCUGUCAUUCGCGAGCAAACGUUAUUAUUUAAAAGAUGAUAGCCUGAUAGUAGCGAAAGAGGAAGGGACGGCUAACUCUGUGCUAGCAGCCGCGGUAAUACAGAGGUCCCAAGCGCUGUUCGGAUUUACUGGGCGUAAAGGGUGCGUAGGUGGUGGGGUAAGUCGGAUGUGAAAUCUCCGAGCUCAACUCGGAAAGUGCAUUGGAAACUACCCUGCUCGAGGGUUGGAGGGGGGACUUGAAUACUUGGUGUAGCAGUGAAAUGCGUAGAUAUCAAGUGGAACACCAGUGGCGAAGGCGAGUCCCUGGACAACUCCUGACACUGAGGCACGAAAGCUAGGGGAGCAAACAG
rnacentral:rRNA from 1 species